AACGAACGCUGGCGGCAGGCUUAACACAUGCAAGUCGAGCGCCCCGCAAGGGGAGCGGCAGACGGGUGAGUAACGCGUGGGAAUCUACCCACCUCUACGGAAUAACGCAUGGAAACGUGUGCUAAUACCGUAUACGUCCUUCGGGAGAAAGAUUUAUCGGAGAUGGAUGAGCCCGCGUUGGAUUAGCUAGUUGGUGGGGUAAAGGCCUACCAAGGCGACGAUCCAUAGCUGGUCUGAGAGUAUGAUCAGCCACACUGGGACUGAGACACGGCCCAGACUCCUACGGGAGGCAGCAGUGGGGAAUAUUGGACAAUGGGCGCAAGCCUGAUCCAGCCAUGCCGCGUGAGUGAUGAAGGCCCUAGGGUUGUAAAGCUCUUUCACCGGUGAAGAUAAUGACGGUAACCGGAGAAGAAGCCCCGGCUAACUUCGUGCCAGCAGCCGCGGUAACAC
rnacentral:rRNA from 1 species